rnacentral:lncRNA from 1 species
UGCUCAGAUCCUUCUUUCUUUCUCACUCGAUCUAUGUACCAUAUUUUUUCUAAAUAUUACACCCAAAGCGCUGCCCCGUUUUAAGUGUUUUAACUCCCGAUCACCGCUACCCUUUCCGAUUGAUCUGAAGCCCAUAACGCAUGUCAGGGCAUUGCUCGACUAAGUUUGUUGGGAUUCUGUCUGGGGACAUCGGGAUAAGGUUGAAUUAGGGGGACUAUACUUACCACGAGUACAUUAUAUAUUUUUGUAUAGCUUUGAAGUUAUACCGAAAAUUUAUACCAGGAGAUUUUCUAGUUGAACCCUAAAGUUAUAAAGUGGGUCUAUUCUCUUUUCUCACUAUUUUAUUGCCUUUUGCUUUAUAAUAUAAUUAUAUUAAAAAAUGUCCCAAAAUGAUCCGUAAGUAAAAACCUGGACCCCUGAAACCCCAAUCCAUAUCAAGAAUCAAGAAAAUCAGAUAUUUAGUCUUCUCGCGGGCCGCGUAAAGAAAAGGUGGGAGGUCACGCGGGCCGCGACAGCUUGUAAAUCUCCGGGUAUGCAUGAAGGCCACGUGUCGUCACACGUGUCGCGACCACCGGUGACUCAGCAACCUCCGAUCUGAUCCACACAUCCACGCGAGCCGCGUAAGGUUUGGCCGAAGGUUCACGCGGGCCGCGACAGGCUUGAAUUUCACCUAUAAAUAGCCUAGCUCAGGAGCUCUCAUUCUGUGUCGAAAUCAAAACUCAAAAACGUAUUCCCACUGCUCAAAAUCACAAAUUAGCAUAACGGGGUGCUGCUACGAUACCAGGUUACAAGACUAAUCUAUAGGCUAAGCUCUGCCUGUAUAAAUCUGCAAUAUCAAGGCUAACCAGUAGGCUAAAUUCUGCCCGUAUAAAUCUGCAUGCUUAUAAAGUAAUUACAGUAGAUUGGAAUAAGAGUUGGACACGACACCAAAAAGGCUUACAGAAGUGGCUUGAUUUAUUAAUUAUAUCAAAUUAAGAAAUAUUGUUUUAUGUAAUUGGGUUAUCCCUUAUUGAAGCUACCUUUGUAAAACAUGGAUUUAUCCCAUCUAUUUAAUAAAUAAAAUCCGGUGUUUUCUAAACUCUGAUAUUUUUCCUAACUCACGGUCCUGAUGAAAUUUCCGCUACAAUAUUUUUCAAAAUAAUCACCGGUACCACUUGGCUGUUCGCGGCUCCCGAUUCCGUCCAGGGUGGGUCGGGGGUCGUGACAAUAUGUAUGUGUGAGCUAAGGUGUGCAUGUGUAUAGUUAUGAUUAGUUUUAUGAAUGCAUGUAAGUAUGUAGUUAUGUAUGCAGGUAGGUAUAUAUGUAGGUAAUGGUGUACGUAUGUACGUGACUAGGUAUGUAUGUAUGUAGUUAUGUAUGUAUGUAUGAAUGUAAAUACGUAUGUGAAGACGUAAUCGUGUAUGUAUGUAAGUAGAUGCGUAGGUAUGCCAGAAAAGGAAUGUAUGUAUGUACGUAGUUAUGUAUGUAUUGUAUACGUGGUUUCAAUACAUUUAAGUGUUGACGUUAUUAACAGUGUGCCUUGAGAAUGAAAUGUAAUGCAGGUGCACUAUUGAAGUUUCGCCAAGGAUUAGACACCCGGAUGGAAUGAUUAAAUCUAAAAAAAAUAACGGGAUGGAAAGUAUAUGUGGAUGGAACGUAACGAGACUACAUGAUUAAGAAUCUUGUUUGUAUAUAAUGUAUGCUAAUGUUGCGAAUGUAUGUGGUGGAUGCAGGUUGUACGAAUCACAGAUUAUCAUCACAAGGAGUAGCGAUCAAAGACCGAGUCACAAGAUAGAUUGUACGGGAAUGCUUGAGUAUGUAAAUUGAUAGACAUAAGUCAUGCUUUUAUUUUGUAAAUGAGUACGAAGGAUGCAUAUAUUGUAAAAGAGUUAUUUUAUAAUGAACUUUCAAGUAAGUCAAAACGUUUAUAAUGAAAGAAAUUUUAUG